CUACGGGAGGCUGCAGUGAGGAAUUUUGCGCAAUGGGGGGAACCCUGACGCAGCAACGCCGCGUGAGUGAUGAAGGCUUUCGGGUCGUAAAGCUCUGUCAAGUGGGAAGAACCUAUGCAGUGUUAAUAUCACUGUGUACUGACUGUACCACUGAAGGAAGCACCGGCUAACUCCGUGCCAGCAGCCGCGGUAAUACGGGGGGUGCAAGCGUUAUUCGGAACAUUGGGCGUAAAGGGCACGUAGGCGGCUUGGUAAGUCAGAUGUGAAAGCCCGGGGCUUAACCCCGGAAGUGCAUUUGAUACUGUCAGGCUUGAGUAUGGGAGAGGGAAGUGGAAUUCCUGGUGUAGAGGUGAAAUUCGUAGAUAUCAGGAGGAACACCGGUGGCGAAGGCGACUUCCUGGACCAAUACUGACGCUGAGGUGCGAAGGCGUGGGUAGCAAACAGGAUUAGAUACCCCCGUAGUC
rnacentral:rRNA from 1 species